AGGAAAAGGUUAAAGGGGAAAACUGAUCCAGGGACUAACUCUGUCUCAGGGGCCAGAGCUGUAAGCCAAAAACGAAGAACAUGGAGACAUGGAGCCACUGGAAGUAAAAGAGCAGGCCCGCCAGCUAGCAAGAUGCUUCUUGUCGGUAGCUUUCAGGAGGUUUUGUAAAGGUACGACCCGCAAGCACACACUGAACAGAGAAAGGGAAUGCUCUUGUCUGAGAAAGAAGCCAGGCUUUCUAAAUGCACAUCUGCCGCGGACACCCGGCCCUCAGUUCCGUUUUCGUUCCCAUACGACUUCUUCGAGAAAGGUUUUUAAAGAAUCUGAAGAUAACCUGGUGGGCUCCGGAACAAAUCCUCUUCCAUAGAAGACAUCUGAGAAAGACCUGAUUCGAAAGAAGAGACUUGAAGACUUGAGAAACUUCCUGUUGACAAUUCUGUACCACACGGCCUGGACGCCCGGAAGACGCAGCUGGCAGCCACUGUCCACAGCCCACGGAGGUUCUUAGGGAAGUUUCUAGAAGACCUUGUGCUUUAGAGAGUUGUGAAAACGCAAGUGUUGUUAGUUCUUGAGAGGGACUUCCUUCCAAGCAGAAGAUGAACUGUGUGUGGCUCUGGUUGCCAAUUUGGCAGAAUCACAGUGGAAGAUGUGAACAGUGGUAAGAGAGCUGUCAGCACGUCAGCAGAGUCUCCUGAAGGAGUUAGGCCCUGGGGUCAGAUGAUUCUCCAGCUCUCAUCUUUGCCACAAAGGGGCUGCCAUGAUCCAAACACAGCGGCUUCUCCAAACACAGAGGAUCUGUCGGUUUGGCUCUACAGCUUAUGUGGGAGCGAGGGUGAUUUGCAGGAGGUAAAGGAGGAUCCCUCUCAGCAUCCUGCUAUCGGUAGUGAUCUCUCAGCAUAAAUCAGCUUCUCAGGCAGAGCUCAGGCUGCUAAAGAGAAGGGAGGGUUCUCUCCAAAAACAGAGUCUUUUUGGCAGAGAUGGUGGACCUGGCAUUGUAAAGAACGGGUUAUGAGUUGAUGAAUUAUUUAUAACGGAUUUUUUUAAAGCACUUGUUGCUAGACUCUGACGCUUUCCUAUCUAAACACCUCCUCUUCUCUGCCUCCACCCUCACCAGAUCCCCCUGUCCUGGGUCCUGUCUCCUCCGGAGUACCUUGGGCUGGGCUGCUUCAUUGUAUUACAAACACGUUAAUCCCCUUAUGCUCAGGAUGCAAAUGCGAUGGAGCCAAGGUCUGGGAAGCUAUGCAAAACAAUCUCUUAAGAAGCCUUUUCCCUUUUCCCUAAUGCCAGGACAGUACAAGAUAGCAGAUUUAGAAUUUAAGACUCGGAGGGUGCGCAAACAUCAAUCAUGAAAAUCAAACAACGUUCCA
ensembl:lncRNA